rnacentral:rRNA from 1 species
UACGUAGGUGGCUAGCGUUGUCCGGAUUUACUGGGCGUAAAGAGCGCGCAGGCGGUCGUUCAAGUCGAGUGUGAAAGCCCCCGGCUCAACUGGGGAGGGUCACUCGAUACUGAUCGACUCGAAGGCAGGAGAGGGAAGCGGAAUUCCCGGUGUAGUGGUGAAAUGCGUAGAUAUCGGGAGGAACACCAGUGGCGAAGGCGGCUUUCUGGCCUGUUCUUGACGCUGAGGCGCGAAAGCUAGGGUAGCAAACGGG